AUUGAACGCUGGCGGCAGGCCUAACACAUGCAAGUCGAACGGAGCAGCGGAGGGGGAAGUAAUGCCUAGGAAUCUGCCUGGUAGUGGGGGAGAAGGACAGGUAACGGAAGCUAUUACCAAAUCCUAUCAGAUGCGGCUAGGUGGGAUUGGCUAGUGGGUGGGGUAACGGCCUACCAAGGCGAAGAUCCCUAGCUGGUCUGAGAGGAUGAUCAUCCACACUGGAACUGAGACACGGUCCAGACUCCUACGGGAGGCAGCAGUGGGGAAUAUUGCACAAUGGGCGCAAGCCUGAUGCAGCCAUGCCGCGUGUGUGAAGAAGGUCUUCGGAUUGUAAAGCACUUUAAGCUGGGAGGCGUUACCAACAGAAUAAGCACCGGCUAACUCCGUGCCAGCAGCCGCGGUAAUAC
rnacentral:rRNA from 1 species